rnacentral:rRNA from 1 species
GACGAACGCUGGCGGCGUGCUUAACACAUGCAAGUCGAACGGAAAGGCCCUGCUUUUGUGGGGUGCUCGAGUGGCGAACGGGUGAGUAACACGUGAGUAACCUGCCCUUGACUUUGGGAUAACUUCAGGAAACUGGGGCUAAUACCGGAUAGGAGCUCCUGCUGCAUGGUGGGGGUUGGAAAGUUUCGGCGGUUGGGGAUGGACUCGCGGCUUAUCAGCUUGUUGGUGGGGUAGUGGCUUACCAAGGCUUUGACGGGUAGCCGGCCUGAGAGGGUGACCGGCCACAUUGGGACUGAGAUACGGCCCAGACUCCUACGGGAGGCAGCAGUGGGGAAUAUUGCACAAUGGGCGGAAGCCUGAUGCAGCAACGCCGCGUGCGGGAUGACGGCCUUCGGGUUGUAAACCGCUUCCGCCUGUGACGAAGCGUGAGUGGCGGUAAUGGGUAAAGAAGCACCGGCUAACUACGUG